rnacentral:rRNA from 1 species
GCAGCCGCGGUAAUACGUAGGUGGCGAGCGUUAUCCGGAAUCAUUGGGCGUAAAGAGGGAGCAGGCGGCGGAAGAGGUCUGUGGUGAAAGCCCGAAGCCAAACUUCGGUAAGCCAUGGAAACCAGUCUGCUGGAGUGCGGUAGAGGAUCGUGGAAUUCCAUGUGUAGCGGUGAAAUGCGUAGAUAUAUGGAGGAACACCAGUGGCGAAGGCGACGAUCUGGGCCUGCACUGACGCUCAGUCCCGAAAGCGUGGGGAGCAAAUAGGAUUAGAUACCCC